AACGUAGGUGGCAAGCGUUGCUCGGAAUUACUGGGCGUAAAGGGCGCGUAGGCGGGAUGGCAAGUCGGUCGUGAAAUCCCUCGGCUCAACCGAGGAACGUCGAUCGAUACUGCUGUUCUUGAGGAUUGCAGAGGAGACUGGAAUUCCCGGUGUAGCGGUGAAAUGUGUAGAGAUCGGGAGGAACACCGGUGGCGAAGGCGGGUCUCUGGGCAAUUCCUGACGCUGAGGCGCGAAAGCGUGGGGAGCAAACGGG
rnacentral:rRNA from 1 species